UGUCUAUUAAUUGUAGACCAGUAUGAAAGGCAAAAUGAGGGUCUAACUGUCUCUUAUAAUAAAUCAAUUAAACUGAUCUCCUAGUAAAAAAGCUAGAAUAUCCUCAUAAGACCAGAAGACCCUGUGAAGCUUAAACUAACCUAUUAAACCACAUAAUAACUACUUUCGGUUGGGGCGACCUUGGAAAAAAAAGAAACUUCCAAACAUAUGACUACCCAUACUCUUUAGGCCCACAAGCCUUUAAACGACCCAGCACAGCUGAUAAUUGAACCAAGUUACUCCAGGGAUAACAGCGCCAUCUUCUUCAAGAGCCCAUAUCAAAAAGAAGGUUUACGACCUCGAUGUUGGAUCAGGACAUCCUAAUGGUGCA
rnacentral:rRNA from 1 species